AGUCGUAACAAGGUUUCCGUAGGUGAACCUGCGGAAGGAUCAUUACCGAGUUCUGCGAUUUCGAUCGCAGCCUCCACCCUUGUUUUUUAUCAUGUUGCUUUGGCGGCUGGUGGACGUCUGCGCGCUGUGCCUUCAAGUACGGCGUGCGGGGGUCCGUGUGGUCGGGCGGCCUCGCACGUUUCGACCUGCCUACCUUUGCGGGUAGGUGGGCUUGGAACGUCGGGCGCUUGGUCCGGCUCUCACCGCCAGAGACCCAAACUCUGAAUCUAUUGCAGUCUGAGAAAAAACAAAUCAAUCAAAACUUUCAACAACGGAUCUCUUGGUUCUGGCAUCGAUGAAGAACGCAGCGAAAUGCGAUAAGUAAUGUGAAUUGCAGAAUUCAGUGAAUCAUCGAAUCUUUGAACGCACAUUGCGCCCUCCGGUACUCCGGGGGGCAUACCUGUUCGAGCGCCGUUGUACUACUAAGGCUCAGCCUUGCGGUGGCCGCUCCCUUUCUUUUCGAAAAAAGGGACGGCUCAAACUCGUGGGCGUCUUCGCACGACGAUCCAGCGUAGCAAGUCUCUCGCUGUAGUCAGUGUCGCUGUGUGAGGCGCCAGUUUCAACGAACGUUUGGCCUCGGAUCAGGUAGGGAUACCCGCUGAACUUAAGCAUAUCAAUAAGCGGAGGAAAAGAAACCAACAGGGAUUGCCUCAGUAACGGCGAGUGAAGCGGCAUCAGCUCAGAUUUGAAAUCUGGCCCGCAAGGGUCCGAGUUGUAAUCUGCAGAGGAACGUUCGGUCUCGGCGCCGGUCCAAGUCUCUUGGAACGGAGCGUCGUGGAGGGUGAGAACCCCGUACCCGGCCGGUGGCCGUGACCAUGUGAACGUCCUUCGACGAGUCGAGUUGUUUGGGAAUGCAGCUCAAAGCGGGUGGUAAAUUCCAUCUAAAGCUAAAUAUUGGCCAGAGACCGAUAGCGCACAAGUAGAGUGAUCGAAAGAUGAAAAGCACUUUGGAAAGAGAGUUAAACAGUACGUGAAAUUGUUGAAAGGGAAGCGCUUGCAACCAGACUUGGCCGCGGAGGCUCCCCCCGUCAUCUGGCGGGGUCACUCCUUCGCGGACAGGCCAGCAUCGGUUCGGGCGGCCGGAGAAAGGCGUGGGGAAUGUGGCUCUCCUUCGGGGGAGCGUUAUAGCCCUGCGCACAAUACGGCCGGCCGGGACCGAGGACCGCGCAUUCGCUAGGAUGCUGGCGUAAUGGUUGUCAGCGGCC
rnacentral:rRNA from 1 species